rnacentral:rRNA from 1 species
CGGACGGGUGAGUAACGCGUGGGUAACCUGCCUCAUACAGGGGGAUAACAGUUAGAAAUGACUGCUAAUACCGCAUAAGACCACAGCACUGCAUGGUGCAGUGGUAAAAACUCCGGUGGUAUGAGAUGGACCCGCGUCUGAUUAGCCAGUUGGCAGGGUAACGGCCUACCAAAGCGACGAUCAGUAGCCGGCCUGAGAGGGUGAACGGCCACAUUGGGACUGAGACACGGCCCAAACUCCUACGGAAGGCAGCAG